rnacentral:rRNA from 1 species
CGGGUGCGAGCGUUGUCCGGAAUUAUUGGGCGUAAAGAGCUUGUAGGCGGUUUGUCGCGUCUGCCGUGAAAAUCCGGGGCUCAACCCCGGACUUGCGGUGGGUACGGGCAGACUAGAGUGUGGUAGGGGAGACUGGAAUUCCUGGUGUAGCGGUGAAAUGCGCAGAUAUCAGGAGGAACACCGAUGGCGAAGGCAGGUCUCUGGGCCACUACUGACGCUGAGAAGCGAAAGCGUGGGGAGCGAACAGGAUUAGAUACCCUGGUAGUCCACGCCGUAAACGUUGGGAACUAGGUGUGGGUCUCAUUCCACGAGAUCUGUGCCGCAGCUAACGCAUUAAGUUCCCCGCCUGGGGAGUACGGCCGCAAGGCUA